rnacentral:lncRNA from 1 species
GGCCGCCGUGCAGCAGGUUCUCGGAGCGCGUCGCCGCUGUCUUCGCGCAAUGUUCAUGACUUUCCCGACUAUCCAGAGACCAGAACCUUCCGGCGAGCCGCGCCUGCUACACGACGUCCAAGCACAAAGCCAAGUUCCGGACCAGGUUCGGAACGGACAUCGGAAAGCGGGUGUGAACCUCCGAAAGCGACCUGGAUGCGAAGCAGGAGUGUGUGGAGUUGGGUUCUCGAGCCGUUUUCCGUGUGAGUCCCGGCACCCCCAGACGU